AUUGAACGCUGGCGGCAGGCUUAACACAUGCAAGUCGAACGAGUGGCGGACGGGUGAGUAAUGCUUGGGAAUCUAGCUUAUGGAGGGGGAUAACUACGGGAAACUGUAGCUAAUCCCGCGUACCAUAGGAUGAGCCCAUGUGGGAUUAGGUAGUUGGUGGGGUAAAGGCGCACCAAGCUGACGAUCUCUAGCUGGUCUGAGAGGAUGACCAGCCAAACGGGGACUGAGACACGGCCCAGACUCCUACGGGAGGCAUCAGUGGGGAAUAUUGCACAAUGGGGGCAACCUGACGCAGCCAUGCCGAGUGUAUGAAGAAGGCCUUCGGGUUGUAAAGUACUUUCGGUAGGGAGGCGUUAACUACAGAAGAAGCACCGGCUAACUCCGUGCCAGCAGCCGCGGUAAUAC
rnacentral:rRNA from 1 species